AUUGAACGCUGGCGGCAGGCCUAACACAUGCAAGUCGAACGGUAACAGGAAGCGGCUUGCUGCUUUGCUGACGAGUGGCGGGCGGGUGAGUAAUGUCUGGGAAACUGCCUGAUGGAGGGGGAUAACUACUGGAAACGGUAGCUAGUACCGCAUAACGUCGCAAGACCAAAGAGGGGGACCUUCGGGCCUCUUGCCAUCGGAUGUGCCCAGAUGGGAUUAGCUAGUAGGUGGGGUAACGGCUCACCUAGGCGACGAUCCCUAGCUGGUCUGAGAGGAUGACCAGCCACACUGGAACUGAGACACGGUCCAGACUCCUACGGGAGGCAGCAGUGGGGAAUAUUGCACAAUGGGCGCAAGCCUGAUGCAGCCAUGCCGCGUGUAUGAAGAAGGCCUUCGGGUUGUAAAGUACUUUCAGCGGGGAGGAAGGGAGUAAAGUUAAUACCUUUGCUUAUUGACGUUACCCGCAGAAGAAGCACCGGCUAACUCCGUG
rnacentral:rRNA from 1 species